AAUAAUAAAGCUUUGGACUUCUUCAGAUCAAGAUGGAGUAACAAGUACCAACUCUAUCUGCUCACCUGAAGCAACUCAAAUAUUGGGCAAACUAUAUGAAAGAAACCACAUUGAAGUCUUUGAACAACAGGCAACAAAGGACAGUGAUCCCUGAGAAAUGAGAAACAAACAAACAAACAACAACAACAAAAAGAAAAGAAAGAAAUGAACAAAUAAGGCAUGGUAUACUUUACUCCAGCAUCUUUACUGGAACUAAAGCAAAUCAAAAUAGGACAGAUACAGAUACUUAAGGACAGAAAUCUCUCUACCAUUUGUCCAAGACUCCAAGUGAGACAAUGACAGUUAUGACAAGCCUUUUAAAAACAAUAUGGUUUUCAAUAUUUCAGCAAAUAUUUAUUAACUACUUAUGCUGUAGGCACUGAGGAAACUGGUGAACAAGAGAGAAAACCCUUGCUGAUCUAGUAGAGCUUAAAUUUAAUGGAAGACACGCCAUUCCUGAUUGUUCCACUCUCUUAGUUGGAUCAGAAAACAAUAGGCUAAGGUUAGCACUACCAUGAUUCUGGCCAUACAACUCUAUUAGUUAAACUAAAUAGUUAGCUUCACUGACAACCGUGCAAACCUUCUGUUUCUAUUAAUCGUAUGGUCAACUGAAAUGUUUAGUUAUCAAAGUACAAAAAGUAAAAGAUCUUGAUAAAGCAGACUAAUAUAGUCUGGAAAUUAGAAUUACCCCCAAAGGGCAAUAAUAAUAUUGAGGGAAUUGACCAAGUAAUACAAGAUGAAAAAGAAUACAGUCUAUUCUUAAUUGGAUGGUUUCCAAAGUGUCUUAGUCAGAGAUCAUUUGAUUCCAAGUAACAGAAUCCAUUCAAAGCAGCCUAAAAAACAAAAGGUGAAUUCAUUAGAAAGAUUGCUUUUCUCACAGAGCAAAAUGGCAGCAACAGAGGAUUCACAAGGUACUAAAAUUUUGGCUCUAGAAGGUCAAGAGGACACAGUUUCUAGCUUAUGUUUUGUACAUAUGCACAUGCCUGUAUUAUUUCUGUUCAUACACCUGCUUUGCUUUAUUAAGUGAAUGACUAGUCCUCCAGGUUUAUGUUGCCUUUUUAAUUUUUUAGCUUUAUUAAGAUAUAAUUGAUACACUUAGUGUAGAUCUCUAGAUUAGUUUGGAUAUAGGCAUACA